rnacentral:rRNA from 1 species
UCUGGUAAUGAUGGCAGAGAGGCCACACCCGUUCCCAUACCGAACACGGAAGUUAAGCUCU